UAAUAUAAUAUUUGUUCAAUAUAAUAUGUUAUAUGCUUUGAUUUGUGAUCAUUUGAGUCUCAGCGUCAUUUUUCCCACUUAUAUAUACAAAUAAGGGAAGUAGGAGCCCAAACCACAGUCUCAUAAAAUGAAGCUCAAUGGUCUUACUUUCUUCCUGGUUGUACUCUCUGCAUUUAUUCUCUUUUCUGCUGCUGGAAGAACCCAUCCCGCCACCCUUCAACCCCAAAAUAAUAAACAAAAAGCUAUUGAAUCAGAAAAAGUCGCUCAUACAAAUAGCGGACCAAGCACGUGGGGCGGGUGUUGGAGUUGCUGGAAAAACCAUGACCGGCGUCUUCUCCGCUAGGAAUAUCUAAUGAUGAUGGCAAUAUGCAUCUUUUGUUGAUCCAUGUUGGAAUAACCAAUCGGGCGUUUGUUCUGAUUUUCUGCUUUUUGUAAGACAUUAGACACUGACAAUGUUUUUAAUAAUCUCGAUCUCUUUUAAUAAUAUGUUUGAUA